CAGUUGGGGACAGCAGCAACAGAGACAGCGACAGCAACGGCAGCAGCGGAGGCGGCGGUGAUGGCCGAGUCCUAGGCGCCCGCCCACGGAUCAUAGCCCCAGGAAAACUUAUGGAUUCCAUCCAAACUGAUAAAAAUCAGAUUUGAUAGAGGAAGACCCUCUGAAGAUCUUGACUGCAGAAAGGAAGAAAGAAAUCUAGAAGACCAAAUAGGAUAGAAUGGAAGGCCAGAAGAGCAGCCCUGACCGGAUUCACUUUCGAGGAUGCUGGGAUGCUGAAACCUGCUUUUCCAGCUCCCUGAUCAAUAUUGCCUCAAACUGAUGCUGUUCCAGAGACUUGCUUCCAGAACAGCUUCAAAAAGGGCUGCUAAUCCCAGAUGACCUUGUUUCAUCCAGUCUUUCAGAUUGUUCUAAUCAGGACUUCAGUUAAGCCCUAAACUUUCUCCAUUCAAGACUUCAGUUAAUCAACCUAUAGAGACUGGACAACAAUAAUGCCAGCUAGCUUUCUUUUGACUUAACCAUUUUUCCAGUUUUCUCUUGGGCCCCCAAACUGGAACUCUUUUCCCCAAUUCAGCAAGAAGAAACUAUAAGAAGACUGUCAUCCCAAUCACUUAAGUUGGGGUGGAUAGUUUUGAUCAUUUUAUGAAUUAUAGAUAUAUUGUCAUUUUAAGGGAUGAUUACAAAUAAUUAUGGUCUUAGACAGGGAGGAAAUUAUAUAGGGAGCUGAGACUCAGAGAUUGCUAUAUCUCUUUUCCUUUUCUCUAUCCUUCUUUCUUUCUUAAAUAAAGAUAAAGAGGUUGANNNNNNNNNNNNNNNNNNNNNNNNNNNNNNNNNNNCUUAAAGAUCAACGUAAAGUUCUACUCUUUUUAAAAACUGCUAUUACAAACAAUUAGGGGUGAUAAAAAAUACAAGUUAUAAACUAUUAAGAUGGUUAAGAAAUAAGCUCAAUAGUCAGAUAGUCAAACUCAUGAUCAUAGUUGAUACUAAUUUAAUUAAUUAUAAUAAAAUGUUCUUAAGGUUAUUCAGAUAGUUAAUAGCUAAGAAUAACGAAUGUCUAGUUGGUCUUCAAAACCUCAUAGAUACACAGAAUAUGGCAUUUAAAAUUAUUUCAUUAUUAAAAGAUCUUUUGACUAUGAGACAGGUCUGUUCCUGACAGUACCCCCAUUCCACUUCAGUGAAGGUGAUGAGCAUCAACAAUAACCUCCAUAUGGAGUUGCUCCAAUUGUAGCAAGUUAGCCACUGGGCAAAGAAAAUACCUAUGCUUCAACUACAGACAAAUCUGUUCAGAAAGGACAAAUGGAUGAAGAGCCAACCAAGCUCUGCCUAGACAGGAAUCUAAAUUAUCUUAUGGAGCCUGGUAGCAUUAUUGUGAAACUUCCCUUCUACACAGCCCAGACAGAACAGAGUGUUGAAAGUCUCUGAAUGAAAGCCUCUAGAAUCCAGUCUAAAAGAGAGUUCUUCUCAUAGUACCUCAGUGCACAUUUCUUAUCCGUAAUUCCUGGGUUUUCUAUUGGUCUGAAGGCACAGGAUGAUCACCCGUAUGAUACUACCCUAGUCUGAGAACUGGUCCACUCCUGCAUAGACAACAUGCACCAAAAUUCAGAUAGUUGAAGACACGGGGAAGAUGAAUGACUUUCAGACAAUCUAAUGACUUGGGGUCUGGAUGAAACUGGGAAUUUUGUUUGAAAGUAAAGACAAGCUAUGGGAAAGCACAUCUAUUAUUCUUCAUGAAUAUUUAACCUCAACUCGAAGUUUCCCUUCGCCAUCUUGAACUGCUUCACUGGCUAUUCCCUAAAGUUCAUCUUCCAAAGGCAACCAUCACUUAGAUUCUAACUGUUGCCCACCACUUGUGCUGAUCUGUUCCUGGGGGAGGCAGACACUGUUGUCCAAAGAGAAUGCACUCCUGACCUUGUCCUAAAAAGGCCCACACUAACAGCUGGGCUGGAAGCAUUGCUGACAGUAGCUAAAAUGCUUAUCCCUCACAGAAAAAUGGGAAGUAUUAUCCAAAUAUAACUGAGCAAAUUUCUCUGAAAUAUUGAUGAAAAUACAGUCAUGUUUCAACUUCUAAGAAAAAAAUAGAAGAAAUGAACCCUGGCUUACUAAAACACAAAAUUUCAAUGUACUAAUCAGAAGGAUUUUGGUUAUUGUUUUCAAUUCAAAAUACUCGAAUACUUUAACAUUGUUUAAUAGGCUUUUCUUUCAGAGAUUAAUUGGCUGAAAAAAUGUCGUUUCAAAACUUAGUUGCAGUUUAUAAUAACUAAAUUUCAGAAGAACAAGUGACUUUUUCUUGAAAAUGAAUAAAGAAUAAUUAUGAUUUUUUUUAAAAUU
ensembl:antisense